AGAGCGAACGCUGGCGGCAGGCCUAACACAUGCAAGUCGAACGGACCCUUCGGGGUUAGUGGCGGACGGGUGAGUAACACGUGGGAACGUGCCUUUAGGUUCGGAAUAGCUCCUGGAAACGGGUGGUAAUGCCGAAUGUGCCCUUCGGGGGAAAGAUUUAUCGCCUUUAGAGCGGCCCGCGUCUGAUUAGCUUGUUGGUGAGGUAAUGGCUCACCAAGGCUACGAGCAGUAGCUGGUCUGAGAGGAUGACCAGCCACAUUGGGACUGAGACACGGCCCAAACUCCUACGGGAGCAGCAGGUGGGGAAUAUUGGACAAGUGGGCGAAAGCCUGAUCCAGCAAUGCCGCGUGAGUGAUGAAGGCCUUAGGGUUAGUAAGUCUCUUUACCCGAGAUGAUAAUGACAGUAGUCGGAGAACGUAAGCCCGGACUAACGUCCGCG
rnacentral:rRNA from 1 species